rnacentral:lncRNA from 1 species
AUAGGCCAAGAGUCUAUAUUUCAUCUAGUUUGUGUUAUGUUAUUUUAUACCUUAGCUCACUCUAGUCACCAUCUUGAUCAGCUUGGCUGGAUUCGUAGUUGACUGGAUCUCCUAUAUAUAGUAGAGCAAAUUUAACAUUGGAUUACCAUUAAUAUCAUUAUUUAUAAGGACUGGCCAAAAUAGAUGAAUAUUUUCUUUGGUGUCACAGCUCCUUUUGGGCAUGCAGC